rnacentral:tmRNA from 1 species
GGGGUCGACUGGUUUUGACAGCGAGAUUAAUUAAACGGUAAGCACGUCGUGUAAUGACUUUGAAACACGUAAAAGGCUAGGUCAAACUUUUAAACGGCGAGAAUAACUACGCUUUAGCUGCCUAAUCCGAAUUAUAGUAGGAUUGGCCUAGGUACACAAGGUGUACAAGCUAAAUGUCUCCUGAAAGCCUUGAUUAACGGCGUUCUACAAGAGGCAUCGUAAAUGUUAAUAUAGAAAGUAAAGUGCUUCGAUUUACUUUUGAAACUAAAGAAGAUAAGUUGUAAGUAGGUUGUCUUUAACCAGCUUACAAUCGAAAAACCAAGAAAAGAAUACACGUGUAGAAAGCUCUUUGGUUACUUGUUUGGACGAGAGUUCGAUUCUCUCCGACUCCACUU